GAUGAACGCUAGCGGCAGGCUUAACACAUGCAAGUCGAGGGGUAUAUGCUUUCGGGCAUAGAGACAGGCGCACGGGUGCGUAACGCGUAUGCAAUCUGCCUUUCACAGAGGGCUAGCCCAGAGAAAUCUGGAUUAAUACCUCAUAGCAUAGCACAAUCGCAUGAUUGAGCUAUUAAAGUCACAACGGUGAAAGAGAAGCAUGCGUCCCAUUAGCUAGUUGGUAAGGUAACGGCUUACCAAGGCUACGAUGGGUAGGGGUCCUGAGAGGGAGAUCCCCCACACUGGUACUGGGACACGGACCAGACUCCUACGGGAGGCAGCAGUGAGGAAUAUUGGUCAAUGGGCGCAAGCCUGAACCAGCCAUGCCGCGUGCAGGAUGACGGUCCUAUGGAUUGUAAACUGCUUUUGUACGGGAAGAAACACUCCUACGUGUAGGAGCUUGACGGUACCGUAAGAAUAAGGAUCGGCUAACUCCGUGCCAGCCGCCGCCGUAAGAC
rnacentral:rRNA from 1 species